rnacentral:lncRNA from 1 species
UCCUCCAUGCUCCACACCAUUCUUGAAGCUUCCAUGCCAUUUUCUCUUUGUCCACCAUGAAACCAAGUUUUCUUCAUUUUCCUUUCCAUGUUUUCUUUUCCUUUCUUCUCCAAACUUCUUGAGCACUAAAUUGAUAGCCUUUAACCCUAAUUUCCAGCACAUCUAAACCCUAGGAGGAGAAGAAAGAAAAAGAGAGAAAGGAAGAAAAAGCUUGGCUUUGGUGAUUCAAGCAAGGAACGGUAAGAAUUCUUGUUUUUGGCUUGAGUAGUCUUUGAAAAUGAGUUAGUGACUUAGAGAAAUGUCUUGUGACAGCAAAGAUUGGCUUCAUUGGAGAAAAAUUGGUAACAUGUAAGCCAAUAAACCCAUGGGUACAUGAAGGACUCAAAGUGGAAAAGGAAAACGGUAAGCUUAACACUAAGUUUUAAAGCCUACGGUUAGUUGAAUAUUGUGAGGAAUUACGGUUGUUGAAAGGAUCUAUUUGCCUAAGCUAUUUGAAAAUUAUUAAGAUUGUAUGGCUUGUUGUUUGAAAGAAAUGAAAAAGGAAUAUUGUGGAUGGAGGAUUGAGAAACAAAGUAUUAAAAGUUAGAUAGAUAACGAUGCAUGUAAACUAGGAAAUAAUCGAGUGAAAAUGAGAAUGAUUGUUGCUGCCAUAUAUGUGGAUUAUGUGUGGAAAUACAAGAUGGAUUUGGGCAAAAAUUAUUUAGAAAGGUUGAAGUAGGCACGUGACAUCAUAAAUAAGUACCGGUGAUGUAAUCUAAGGAAUUACGUAAGCAAUGGACAUAAGUAAUUUUAGUAAAAGUGUAUUAAGAGUUAAUUGAAGAUGGUUUCAUGAUAAGAUGAAAAAUAUAAAUUUGAGUAAGGAUUAAUUGAUUGAAGUGUUGCUCGUAUACGUAUGUAAUUAAAUAUGUUGAGUUCGUAUUAUUGCUAGGAAGUGCAGAGAUAAGGUUAAAGUACUGUGGUGGCGUGCCAGAGUAAAUAACGAGCAACGGGCCAGUGAAAAUAGUUAGAGACACCUCUGAACAAAGAGCAAUUUAAUAUCUCAUUGUUACCAGGUGAGUGAACUUGCAUUAAAAUGUUUUGGAAUAAAUGAUUAUAUGCUUGAUUAAGCCACUUGAAAAAUUUUAUUAGUUUUUCUUGAAAAAUUGCAUGGGAACAAGCCUUUGAUGAAAUGUUUUGAUAUUGUGAAAUAUGAACGUGAUGAAUUCAUGAGUUUUUACAUUAUGUUGAUGUGUAUAUUAUACAUUAAAUUAUACUUUUGUGUGAUCAUUAUGACCCAGCCAUGUGCGGUG